GCCUGGCUGGCUCAGUUGGUAGGGCAUGUGACUCUUGAUCUUGGGGUUGUGGGUUUGAGCCCCACGUUGGAGGCA
rnacentral:tRNA from 1 species